rnacentral:rRNA from 1 species
UACGGAGGGUGCAAGCGUUAUCCGGAUUCACUGGGUUUAAAGGGUGCGUAGGUGGGUUUGUAAGUCAGCGGUGAAAUCUCCGGGCUUAACUCGGAAACUGCCAUUGAUACUAUAGAUCUUGAAUUUUCUGGAGGUAAGCGGAAUAUGUCAUGUAGCGGUGAAAUGCUUAGAUAUGACAUAGAACACCAAUUGCGAAGGCAGCUUGCUACAGGAAUAUUGACACUGAGGCACGAAAGCGUGGGGAUCAAACAGGA